UACGGAGGGGGCUAGCGUUGUUCGGAAUUACUGGGCGUAAAGCGCACGUAGGCGGCUUUGUAAGUUAGAGGUGAAAGCCCGGGGCUCAACUCCGGAAUUGCCUUUAAGACUGCAUCGCUGGAGUGCCGGAGAGGAAGGCGGAAUUCCCGGUGUAGAGGUGAAAUUCGUAGAUAUCGGGAGGAACACCAGUGGCGAAGGCGGCCUUCUGGACGGACACUGACGCUGAGACGCGAAAGCGUGGGUAGCAAACAGG
rnacentral:rRNA from 1 species